AGAGUUUGAUCCUGGCUCAGAUUGAACGCUGGCGGCGUGCCUUACACAUGCAAGUCGAACGGCAGCGCGGGGCAACCUGGCGGCGAGUGGCGAACGGGUGAGUAAUAUAUCGGAACGUACCCUGGAGUGGGGGAUAACGUAGCGAAAGUUACGCUAAUACCGCAUACGAUCCAAGGAUGAAAGCAGGGGACCGCAAGGCCUUGUGCUCCUGGAGCGGCCGAUAUCUGAUUAGCUAGUUGGCGGGGUAAAAGCCCACCAAGGCAACGAUCAGUAGCUGGUCUGAGAGGACGACCAGCCACACUGGAACUGAGACACGGUCCAGACUCCUACGGGAGGCAGCAGUGGGGAAUUUUGGACAAUGGGCGCAAGCCUGAUCCAGCAAUGCCGCGUGAGUGAAGAAGGCCUUCGGGUUGUAAAGCUCUUUUGUCAGGGAAGAAACGGUGGGGGCU
rnacentral:rRNA from 1 species